rnacentral:rRNA from 1 species
AAGGGCGCAUGGUGAAUGCCUUGGUACUAGGAGCCGAUGAAGGACGGGACUAACACCGAUAUGCUUCGGGGAGCGGUAAGUACGCUUUGAUCCGGAGAUUUCCGAAUGGGGAAACCCAAUCAUCUUAGUCGAUGAUUACUUGAGCAGUGAAU